rnacentral:rRNA from 1 species
GAUGAACGCUGGCGGCGUGCCUAAUACAUGCAAGUCGAGCGAACGGACGAGAAGCUUGCUUCUCUGAUGUUAGCGGCGGACGGGUGAGUAACACGUGGAUAACCUACCUAUAAGACUGGGAUAACUUCGGGAAACCGGAGCUAAUACCGGAUAAUAUUUUGAACCGCAUGGUUCAAAAGUGAAAGACGGUCUUGCUGUCACUUAUAGAUGGAUCCGCGCUGCAUUAGCUAGUUGGUAAGGUAACGGCUUACCAAGGCAACGAUGCAUAGCCGACCUGAGAGGGUGAUCGGCCACACUGGAACUGAGACACGGUCCAGACUCCUACGGGAGGCAGCAGUAGGGAAUCUUCCGCAAUGGGCGAAAGCCUGACGGAGCAACGCCGCGUGAGUGAUGAAGGUCUUCGGAUCGUAAAACUCUGUUAUUAGGGAGAACAUAUGUGUAAGUAACUGUGCACAUCUUGACGGUACCUAAUCAGAAAGCCACGGCUAACUACGUG